UACGGAGGGGGCUAGCGUUGUUCGGAAUUACUGGGCGUAAAGCGUACGUAGGCGGCUUUGCAAGUUAGAGGUGAAAGCCCAGGGCUUAACCCUGGAAUUGCCUUUAAAACUGCAUCGCUAGAAUUGUGGAGAGGUAAGAGGAAUUCCGAGUGUAGAGGUGAAAUUCGUAGAUAUUCGGAAGAACACCAGUGGCGAAGGCGACUUACUGGACACAUAUUGACGCUGAGGUGCGAAAGCGUGGGGAGCAAACAGG
rnacentral:rRNA from 1 species